AACGCACAUUGCGCCCUUUGGUAUUCCGAGGGGCAUGCCUGUUCGAGCGUCAUUUCCAAAUCUCGAGCCCCUUGUGGGGCUUGGUGUUGGGCUUUCGUCUAACUCUUUUCUCCCUGCAAAAAAGGGGGAAGUCUGACGUGCCUGAAAAUCAAUGACGGUGCCUCAAUGGACUCAAGCGUAGCAGACUGACUCUCGCUUUGGAGAACUUUGUAGUGCUGUCAACUAAAACAAUGAAUUUGGACCUCGGAUCAGGUAGGAAUACCCGCUGAACUUAA
rnacentral:misc_RNA from 1 species